UUGAAGGCAAUAUUAUCAGAGAGCGCCGACGUAGGCCUAAAUAUCAGUUUGUUCCUCAAACAAAGCUAUGGUGUGAUUUCUGAUAACGUGAAAUAUAGUCAUAAGGACUGCUUUUAUUGUGAUUUCCUGGGCGUGACAAAUUUUACUUUUGUAUCCCGAAAAAUAAAGAAAGUCAUACGGACCUGUAACGUGAUGAUAAGCCUCCUGCAUUGCUUACAGUAAGGAAUGACGGAGCUGGGCCAUUUUCGCUGGGUUUGUUGCUAUGGAAAUGGACAGUGAGCACUUGGAUCAUUCACAUUUGAAGUCGGUCUCUCCUCCUUGGCUUUCUCUUGGCCCACUGAACACCCCUGAGAAGCAUGUUUUUGCUCAAAGUUUGCUGUUUUAGUGCUCAGGAGAGUUAAUAAAGUUCUCUGUGAAAUGCAAA